rnacentral:lncRNA from 1 species
GUGGCACUCCCCCCUCCCGCCCCCUGAAAGGUCCCUUUUUGGAAUAUCUGCACUGUGCCAGGACCAGCACUGCCAGGAAGAGUGCAGGACAAUUUGUUUUCUUGUUUUCUGUUUGGGAGACUCGUCUGCACUGGUCGGUUCUCUCUCAGGUCACAGGGGACCAAACCAUUGGGCUUGUCAGCGAGUCCUUCCAUACCUGCUACACAGACCAGAGCUGCUCAGAUUGCCUGAGCCAGUGGGAGCGGACGUGGCAAGUCUUGGAAAGGCACCCAGCCGCAGCUCAAGGGCAGUGCCCGCCAGCGCUCCUUGCCGUUCGGGACGUGUUGCCAGUUCCAGUCACCACACAACAGCCCAUGACCAAUGGCAGUUCUGGAUGCGCCUGUCCCACGUGAGACCCAGCUCCGGCACCUCUGUUUCUCCCUCCAUCGGCUUCUUCUUCCUACUUCCCUAAGCAAGAAGGUCAAGAAUAGGCUGAGGCACCUGGUGCGAAAGGUACAGGUGCCCACCUGAACUUGCGCCACCUUGAAUGAAGCGCUGGCCUCAGCCUAGCCGGGAGGAGGAGGAGGAGCUGGAUGACUCCUCAGCUGCUACAAAGGCCACUUAUGUAGAAGCUCCUAUAAGUUUUUGCCGUUCACAACACCCUCUUCUGGGUGACUCCUUCAUGCUUGGGUUCUUGGGCCAGGUCCUGGCUCCAAAUCUGAAAAGCUGCAUGGCCUUAGCCUGGUCACUCCCUCAGGACGCGCCCAUGAUGCCUGGGAUGCCCUGUGUCUGCCAGAAAUGACGUAGGCACUAGGCACCAACCAGCCCAAGCUGCCAAGCCCAGCCCCGGCUCCAGCACCUGGUGCCAGCAAGGCUCCAUAAGCACCAGUCUUCUCGCUCCUUCCCCUGGUCCUCCUAUGCUUUCCCAAUCCUGCUUGGCCAUGGAUGGACUAGAACAAAGCAACAGCAGACCUGGCUCAAGCAAGUUCCAAUUUUCAGGUUAACUCCUGGAAGAAGGAACCCAUCCAGAACUAAAAAUAAAGAAAAAGGCUUCUCACCACUGGGCAAAGUUUCUCAGCCUCGGCAUUAUUGACAUUCGGGGCUAGACCAUUCUUUGCGGCAGGGCUGUCCCGAGCAUCAUAGGAUGUUGAGCAGCAUCCCUGGCCUCUGCCCACUAGAUGCCAGUACACCCCCCAGACAUUGCCAAAUGCCCCAAUGGGGGAGGGGGAGGGGAAAAUGACCCCCGGAAAUGAAUAACUGCCAUACUACACCUCCCCUGAGAAAGAGCUAUUCAUUCUCGAAGGAGAUAAGGAUCCUAAUUUCAACGCCUAACAACAGCAGCCAAAAGCAGGAAACAGGGAGGAAGAAGGUGCUCCCCACACAUCUGUAGAAACAUCGCCAGGCCUGUUAGGCUCCUUCCAUUUCAAGGGACAAAGAUGUGGGGCAUCACCUCAGGGAAUAGGGUCUGUCACCAGGGUGCACGGGAGUGAGGAUGUUGCACAGUCCUGCCUCAGGGGAACGGCAAUAACGCCCCCUCAGCAGUCAGGGUACAGAAGGCCCUCAUACGCUCAGAGUCAGCCCGGGGCCCCCGUCUCAAGAUCCCAUCAGAAGCCAGCGUUUCUUCCUCCCUCCGUGAUAGACCCACCAUCUUCACCACUCUGCUGCCUCUUGUCCCUACUUGGUCCACAGUCCUGGCCCUUUUGUGAGAUGUCCUACAUUUAAAACUCCCAGGAGGUCAAUUUGGGCUUGGGUAGUUUCCACCUGUCUUAUUAGUUUGGGCUCCCCAGAAACAGACUCUGAGACAAAGACUCAAGUGCAAAGAAAGUGUUUGGAAGUAACUCCAGGAAACACUAGUAAGGGAGCAGGGAAUUGAGACCAGGAGAGGAAGGAAGCCAAGAAAGGAUGCGCCAGGAGCAGGGUGCUGUGGUGACCAACUGGGGCUUAAUCGGUGGAUGCCAGUGUGGAGCACAUGCCUGCGUUGUUCCAUCCAGAGAGGACAGAGCGGGUGCUUACCCACCAGCUCGCACGAGCCCCAGUGAAGGGCUACCUCUGGGAGGCAUUCAUUCCUCAGCUCUUCCGACUUAUGCAGCACAGACAACUCCAGCGGCCAGAGAGAGCUCUCAGGCCCGAAGAGCCACACGUGGGAGGUGGGACUGACAGGAAUGGCAUGG